GAUGAACGCUGGCUACAGGCUUAACACAUGCAAGUCGAGGGGAAACGACGGGGAAGCUUGCUUCCCCGGGCGUCGACCGGCGCACGGGAGAGUAACGCGUACCCAACCUGCCUCUGACUGAGGGAUAACCCAUCGAGACUCGGACCAAUACCGCAUGCCAGCGCCUGCGGGGGGCCAACGACGAUUAAAGAUUUCAUCGGGCAGAGGUUGGGCUGCGUCUGAUUAGCUUGUUGGUGGCGUAACGGCCCACCAAGGCGACGAUCAGUAGGGGUUCUGAGGGGAGCGUCCCUCACAGUGUAACCGGGACCAUGGGCAAACUCCUACGGGACGCAGCAGUGAGGAAUACUGGUCUAUGGGAGAGUGCCUGAUCCAGCCAAGUAGCGUGCAGGAUGACGGCCCUAUGGGUUGUAACCUGCUUUUAUGCGGCGAUAAAGUGAGGGGCGUGUCCUUCAUUGCAGGUACCGCAUGAAUAAGGACCGGCUAAUUCCGUG
rnacentral:rRNA from 1 species